AAAUUGAAGAGUUUGAUCAUGGCUCAGAUUGAACGCUGGCGGCAGGCCUAACACAUGCAAGUCGAACGGUAACAGGAAGCAGCUUGCUGCUUUGCUGACGAGUGGCGGACGGGUGAGUAAUGUCUGGGAAACUGCCUGAUGGAGGGGGAUAACUACUGGAAACGGUAGCUAAUACCGCAUAACGUCGCAAGACCAAAGAAGGGGACCUUCGGGCCUCUUGCCAUCGGAUGUGCCCAGAUGGGAUUAGCUAGUAGGUGGGGUAACGGCUCACCUAGGCGACGAUCCCUAGCUGGUCUGAGAGGAUGACCAGCCACACUGGAACUGAGACACGGUCCAGACUCCUACGGGAGGCAGCAGUGGGGAAUAUUGCACAAUGGGCGCAAGCCUGAUGCAGCCAUGCCGCGUGUAUGAAGAAGGCCUUCGGGUUGUAAAGUACUUUCAGCGGGGAGGAAGGUGUUGAGGUUAAUAACCUCAGCAAUUGACGUUACCCGCAGAAGAAGCACCGGCUAACUCCGUGCCAGCAGCCGCGGUAAUACGGAGGGUGCAAGCGUUAAUCGGAAUUACUGGGCGUAAAGCGCACGCAGGCGGUCUGUCAAGUCGGAUGUGAAAUCCCCGGGCUCAACCUCGGAACUGCAUUCGAAACUGGCAGGCUAGAGUCUUGUAGAGGGGGUAGAAUUCCGGGUGUAGCGGUGAAAUGCGUAGAGAUCUGGAGGAAUACCGGUGGCGAAGGCGGCCCCCUGGACAAAGACUGACGCUCAGGUGCGAAAGCGUGGGGAGCAAACAGGAUUAGAUACCCUGGUAGUCCACGCCGUAAACGAUGUCGACUUGGAGGUUGUGCCCUUGAGGCGUGGCUUCCGGAGCUAACGCGUUAAGUCGACCGCCUGGGGAGUACGGCCGCAAGGUUAAAACUCAAAUGAAUUGACGGGGGCCCGCACAAGCGGUGGAGCAUGUGGUUUAAUUCGAUGCAACGCGAAGAACCUUACCUACUCUUGACAUCCAGAGAACUUUCCAGAGAUGGAUUGGUGCCUUCGGGAACUCUGAGACAGGUGCUGCAUGGCUGUCGUCAGCUCGUGUUGUGAAAUGUUGGGUUAAGUCCCGCAACGAGCGCAACCCUUAUCCUUUGUUGCCAGCGGUUAGGCCGGGAACUCAAAGGAGACUGCCAGUGAUAAACUGGAGGAAGGUGGGGAUGACGUCAAGUCAUCAUGGCCCUUACGAGUAGGGCUACACACGUGCUACAAUGGCGCAUACAAAGAGAAGCGACCUCGCGAGAGCAAGCGGACCUCAUAAAGUGCGUCGUAGUCCGGAUUGGAGUCUGCAACUCGACUCCAUGAAGUCGGAAUCGCUAGUAAUCGUGGAUCAGAAUGCCACGGUGAAUACGUUCCCGGGCCUUGUACACACCGCCCGUCACACCAUGGGAGUGGGUUGCAAAAGAAGUAGGUAGCUUAACCUUCGGGAGGGCGCUUACCACUUUGUGAUUCAUGACUGGGGUGAAGUCGUAACAAGGUAACCGUAGGGGAACCUGCGGUUGGAUCACCUCCUUACCUUAAAGAA
rnacentral:rRNA from 1 species